AGAACAGGCAGCAUGGAGAACAGGCAGUACUGAAACAGGAGACAGCAUGGAGGUACAGGAGAGGCUGGAGUGAGCUGCUACUACAUGAUCACUCCCAUCAGCAGCAUGGAGAACAGGCAGUACUGAGACAGGAGGCAGCAUGGAGGUACAGGAGAGGCUGGAGUGAGCUGCUACUACAUGAUCACUCCCAUCAGCAGUAUGAAGAACAGGCAGUACUGAGACAGGAGACAGCAUGGAGGGACAGGAGAGGCUGGAAUGAGCUGCUACUACAUGAUCACUCCCAUCAGCAGCAUGGAGGCAGCAUGGAGAACAGGCAGUACUGAGACAGGAGACAGCAUGGAGAUACAGGAGAGGCUGGAGUGAGCUGCUACUACAUGAUCACUCCCAUCAGCAGCAUGGAGAACAGGCAGUACUGAGACAGGAGACAGCAUGGAGGGACAGGAGAGGCUGGAAUGAGCUGCUACUACAUGAUCACUCCCAUCAGCAGUAUGGAGAACAGGCAGUACUGAGACAGGAGACAGCAUGGAGGUACAGGAG